rnacentral:rRNA from 1 species
UACGUAGGUGGCGAGCGUUGUCCGGAUUUAUUUGGCGUAAAGCGCGCGCAGGCGGUUCGGCAAGUCCGGUGUGAAAGCGCCCGGCUCAACUGGGCGAGGUCAUUGGAGACUGUCGGACUGGAGGUGGGCAGAGGCCGGUGGAAUUCCCGGUGUAGUGGUGAAAUGCGUAGAUAUCGGGAGGAACACCUGUGGUGUAGACGGCUAUCUGGACGGCGACUGACGCUGGGACACGAAAGCGUGGGUAGCAAACAGG